GCUGGGUGUGGUGGCACACACCUGUAGUCCUAGCUACUCAGGAAGCUAAGGGAGGAGGAUAGCUUGAGCCCAGGAUAGUCCAGGCUGCAGUGAGCCAUGAUCACACCACUGCACCCCAGCCUGGGCAACAGAGCAAGACCCUGCCUCAA
rnacentral:SRP_RNA from 2 species